UACGGGGGGGGCAAGCGUUGUUCGGAAUUAUUGGGCGUAAAGGGCGCGUAGGCGGUUUGACAAGUCUGAUGUGAAAUCUCUGGGCUCAACCCAGAGUCUGCAUUAGAAACUGUCGGGCUUGAGUAUGGGAGAGGUGAGUGGAAUUUCCGGUGUAGCGGUGAAAUGCGUAGAUAUCGGAAGGAACACCUGUGGCGAAAGCGGCUCACUGGACCAUAACUGACGCUGAGGCGCGAAAGCUAGGGGAGCAAACAGG
rnacentral:rRNA from 1 species